rnacentral:rRNA from 1 species
GGCGACGGGUGCGUAACGCGUAAGAAUCUACCUUUAGGAGGGGGACAACAGUUGGAAACGACUGCUAAUUCCCCAUAUGCUGAGGAGUAAAACGGUGAAUAACCGCCUAGAGAUGAGCUUGCGUCUGAUUAGCUAGUUGGUAAGGUAAUGGCUUACCAAGGCGAUGAUCAGUAGCUGGUCUGAGAGGAUGAUCAGCCACACUGGGACUGAGACACGGCCCAGACUCCUACGGGAGGCAGCAGUGAGGAAUUUUCCGCAAUGGGCGAAAGCCUGACGGAGCAAUACCGCGUGGAGGAUGACGGCCUGUGGGUCUUAAACUCCUUUUCUUAGAGAAGAAGCUCUGACGGUAUCUAAGGAAUAAGCAUCGGCUAACUCCGUGCCAGCAGCCGCGGUAAUACGGGGGAUGCAAGCGUUAUCCGGAAUGAUUGGGCGUAAAGCGUCU